rnacentral:rRNA from 1 species
ACGAACGCUGGCGGCGUGCUUAACACAUGCAAGUCGAACGGAAAGGCCCUGCUUUUGUGGGGUGCUCGAGUGGCGAACGGGUGAGUAACACGUGAGUAACCUGCCCUUGACUUUGGGAUAACUUCAGGAAACUGGGGCUAAUACCGGAUAGGAGCUCCUGCUGCAUGGUGGGGGUUGGAAAGUUUCGGCGGGUGGGGAUGGACUCGCGGCUUAUCAGCUUGUUGGUGGGGUAGUGGCUUACCAAGGCUUUGACGGGUAGCCGGCCUGGGAGGGUGACCGGCCACAUUGGGACUGAGAUACGGCCCAGACUCCUACGGGAGGCAGCAGUGGGGAAUAUUGCACAAUGGGCGGAAGCCUGAUGCAGCAACGCCGCGUGCGGGAUGACGGCCUUCGGGUUGUAAACCGCUUUCGCCUGUGACGAAGCGUGAGUGACGGUAAUGGGUAAAGAAGCACCGGCUAACUACGUG